rnacentral:misc_RNA from 1 species
AAGUCGUAACAAGGUUUCCGUAGGUGAACCUGCGGAAGGAUCAUUAACACGUAUCCAACGUUAAACCCCCCGUGCACACAGCGACCUGCUCCCCUCAAUUUCGGUCUUUUGGCAAUCCCUGGUAAAUCGUCGCCGAACAGUUUUGAUUCAGGGACAUCCAAAGAGCCGGGGUAGGGUAUUAAAGUAGUAGUCAAUGCAAAAGCGACCUGGUUUCUUUGAAGCAGAAAGUGUGAUGGCGUGAGCCGGAGAACGGACCGAGAGGUAGUUCGAAGGUGCCUUCCGUCGCGCACUGUGGAAAGGAAGACGCUUUACGAAUCACUGUAACACGGCCACAGUCGCAGACGAGGUAGGGAUACGUCCCUACCACCAAAUAAAUACUUUGAACAACUGUUAACAAUGGAUAUCUUGGUUCUC